rnacentral:rRNA from 1 species
CCCCGGCGUCCCGAGUGGUAAUCAGUAUUAUUGGGUCUAAAGCAUUCGUAGCCGGAUUCUUAAAUUUCUUGUGAAAUCACUUAGCUUAACUGAGUGGCGUGCAGGAAAGACUGGGAAUCUAGGAACUGGGAGGAGUUAGAAGUAUUCUGGGGGGAGCGGUAAAAUGUGAUAAUCCCCGGAAGACUACCUGUGGCGAAGGCGUCUAACUAGAACAGAUUCGACGGUGAGGAAUGAAGGCUAGGGGAGCAAAACG